UACAGAGGGUGCGAGCGUUGUCCGGAAUCACGGGGCGUAAAGGGCGCGUAGGCGGUCUCUUAAGCGUGUGGUGAAAGCCCGGGGCUCAACUCCGGGUCGGCCGUGCGAACUGGGGGACUGGAGCUUGUCAGAGGCAGGCGGAAUUCCGGGUGUAGCGGUGGAAUGCGUAGAGAUCCGGAAGAACACCAGUGGCGAAGGCGGCUUACUGGUCCGGUUCUGACGCUGAGGCGCGAAAGCGUGGGGAGCAAACAGG
rnacentral:rRNA from 1 species